UGGGGAAUUUUGCGCAAUGGGGGAAACCCUGACGCAGCAACGCCGCGUGGAGGAUGAAAUCCCUUGGGAUGUAAACUCCUUUCGAUCGGGACGAUUAUGACGGUACCGGAAGAAGAAGCCCCGGCUAACUUCGUGCCAG
rnacentral:rRNA from 1 species